UCUGUUCUGGAUCAUCGGCCGUUACUCCCUCCCUGACCCUGGCAAGUAAGCUUUAUCACAAGAUUUCAUGCUGUGUUCUGUAGCUAGCUAGAGCAUUGAAUUCUUCGUGAAAGGCCAAUGAAUUCUCUUGAUAUAGAUUAGUUGAUGAAGUAAUCGGUUAGGUAUAUGUGUUUCUAUGAGCACUGUUGUUGACCCCGUUAUGCCCUGUAUGGAGAGGAGAAGAGUCACGAGUGGUGGUUUUCAUGGCCUCUAGUGGCAAUACGGAAUCCUGCUUUCAGGUUGUAUUUGCUACGUCAAUAACUGAAACACCAGCCACCCAGUUGACUAUUGAUAUUAAUAGCUCAAUUUCCAGCUGAUUUUUGAUCUCAGUCCAUGCUCGCCAAAGUAAUUAAUUAGUUGGUUUUUGCAUAUACAGGAUUUGAGAACUUUACGUCAUUUCAUAUGUAUACCCAUGAGAACUCCAGUUGACUUCCUGGUAUAUUUUAUAUAUCUUCUGAGUUUCAGCAUUAAGAUAAGCUAUGAUGCUGAGACAUUACGUAAUUUUCUGUAAUGUGAUGUUUAGCAUAUCAGCUUCCCAGCUUUCUUGAAAUAAUGUGUAACACUGUGCAUAACUUUUACUUGGUUUAUUUGGUAGUUGAACUACAAUCCUACUGACGAUGCAAAAGUUAUGCUAAUAGCAAGGACUACUUGACUUGUACAGUUCCAUUAUUUGGAUUUCAGAGCAGCCACUUGCAGAAAACAUAAUAAGGUAAUUAAGCUACUUUCUAGAAUAUGCUGGAUUGUAUAAAUCCUGAGUAAUGAUGUGUGGUUCCGAAGCGGUCCAUAAUUUUGUUCCAAAAUUGGCGUUUUUUCCACCCUUUUCAUGUUCUGAAACAAUACAAUAUGCAUGCACAAGGCUUUUUGAAUUACGUUAGCUGUAUGUCUUAUGUAAAUUGUACACUCCAAUUAAAGAGUUGUUGUGAUUAGUCAUGGUCAGUGUGUAUAUACCGUGCUGUGUGAAUAGUCUGUAGCUUCACAGAAACUGUAAGCAUGUCGCUCCAUCAUUUCUUAACAUUUUCAUAUUUAGGUCCUUCUGUUUGUCUGCAUAAGCAGUGAUUUUGUCUGGACUAAUUUAUUGUUAACCAAACACGAAUUACCAUGGUAACCAGCUUGAUGUGUUGAAUAACUCAAUUAGCCCCUUUACCACAACUGGUGUGUAACUAAUGUUUAAAUUAUGUUUACAAGCACAAACUGAAGGUCUAUUUGUACUCUGUUAUAUUUUACUCAUGCUUGGACCAGGACCUCAUGAGGAACAACAAUUGAUGCAGGUUCGUGUUGCUCCAACAGAUUCUGCACCGUAUGCCGUAAAAAAUGUGUAUCUUUGUCCAUUUGAUAUGUUCACCAUUGGAAGCAAUCGGAGCAAAUGUUAACACUUAUGCAAUGAUUUCUGCCAUACACUAAGACGCCUAUAUUAGCCUCAUAUAGUUUAAGUAUGUAACAUGAACCCUCGAGGAAAGUUAUGAAUACAUUUCCAUCUAUGUAUGCUAGUAAUUUGUCGUGUAUAAUAAAGAUUGCAUGGCCUUCCACAUUUGUACGUGACUAAUAACCUGCCUCUAUCACUACUUGCACCAUGUCAAUUCAUUGCGUUAAUGGUUCAUUUUGUUAUUUUCUUUGUAUUUUCAGAAGAUACGGAUGAUUAUAUGGGUGUGUAACAAGUAUACUGUGAUGUUCCGGUUCAUAAUGAUGAAGAUUGAUGCUUUCAGCUUUAGUUAAGUUGUAGGGAUGUGGUUCCUGUUGGAUGAUGUUCCUCGGUUAAGUUUUACUUAAGUUGUAGAGUUGUCAAGAAAAUAUUUAGAUUAUGCAUCACAUUGGGAUGAUGUUCCUCCUGUAAUAUCCACUAUUGUAAUCCAACAUUUUUAUCCAAUAUAUGAUUUCUUCCUCUUAUGAG